CGGGUGAGUAAUGCUUGGGAAUAUGCCGAGUGGCGGGGGACAACAGUUGGAAACGACUGCUAAUACCGCAUAAUGUCUACGGACCAAAGGGGGGGGCUUCCUCGGAACCUCCCGCCAUUUGAUUAGCCCAAGUGAGAUUAGCUAGUUGGUGAGGUAAUGGCUCACCAAGGCGACGAUCUCUAGCUGGUUUGAGAGGAUGAUCAGCCACACUGGGACUGAGACACGGCCCAG
rnacentral:rRNA from 1 species